UGCAAAACAUUUCACCGAAGGCAGUUUUCAAAACCUUGGACAGUUUAAAGCAGGAUUUGCUACGCUGCUGUUACUGAAACGAGGGGCUGUUCCGACCGUAAGGUCAUCACAACCGCAUGCUGUUUUAUCUUGCAGCCAUGCACUUCAAUGCGAAUGCUGAGUCCCCACAACAGAAGACAGCCAAGGAGAAACUAUGUACAGACUUGCCAAACAAUUUACAGGGAUCAUCAAAGACCCUCUACCUGAUUGGGAUGCCGUCCAGCGGAUUCCUGUGCCCCAGGACUUGUGUGCUCAGCUUGACAGACCUU